UACAUAGGGGGCAAGCGUUAUCCGGAAUUAUUGGGCGUAAAGGGUGCGUAGGCGGUCUGUUAAGUCUAAGGUGUAAGUUCAAGGCUCAACCUUGUGAUGCUUUAGAAACUGGUGGACUAGAGAUAGAUAGAGGCAAGUGGAAUUCCAUGUGUAGCGGUAAAAUGCGUAAAUAUAUGGAGGAACACCAGUGGCGAAGGCGGCUUGCUGGGUCUAUACUGACGCUGAGGCACGAAAGCGUGGGGAGCAAACAGGAUUAGAUACCCUGGUAGUCCACGCCGUAAACGAUGAGUACUAAGUGUUGGGGGAACCCAGUGCUGUAGUUAACAUAUUAAGUACUCCGCCUGAGUAGUACGUACGCAAGUAUGAA
rnacentral:rRNA from 1 species